GUCUGCGUGGAGCCGACCUUGAAAUACCACCCUUUAAUGUUUGAUGUUCUAACGUGGACCCGUGAUCCGGGUUGCGGACAGUGUCUGGUGGGUAGUUUGACUGGGGCGGUCUCCUCCUAAAGAGUAACGGAGGAGCACGAAGGUUGGCUAAUCCUGGUCGGACAUCAGGAGGUUAGUGCAAUGGCAUAAGCCAGCUUGACUGCGAGCGUGACGGCGCGAGCAGGUGCGAAAGCAGGUCAUAGUGAUCCGGUGGUUCUGAAUGGAAGGGCCAUCGCUCAACGGAUAAAAGGUACUCCGGGGAUAACAGGCUGAUACCGCCCAAGAGUUCAUAUCGACGGCGGUGUUUGGCACCUCGAUGUCGGCUCAUCACAUCCUGGGGCUGAAGUAGGUCCCAAGGGUAUGGCUGUUCGCCAUUUAAAGUGGUACGCGAGCUGGGUUUAGAACGUCGUGAGACAGUUCGGUCCCUAUCUGCCGUGGGCGCUGGAGAACUGAGGGGGGCAGCUCCUAGUACGAGAGGACCGGAGUGGACGCAUCACUGGUGUUCGGGUUGUCAUGCCAAUGGCACUGCCCGGUAGCUAAAUGCGGAAGAGAUAAGUGCUGAAAGCAUCUAAGCACGAAACUUGCCCCGAGAUGAGUUCUCCCUGAGACUUAGAGUCUCCUGAAGGAACGUUGAAGACGACGACGUUGAUAGGCCGGGUGUGUAAGCGCAGCGAUGCGUUGAGCUAACCGGUACUAAUGAACCGUGAGGCUUAACCUUACAACGCCGAAG
rnacentral:rRNA from 1 species